CUUCUGGUCCAGACUUCAGGGAUCAGGGAGGCCUUAGGAGAUUGAUAUCCUGAUCUAUUGGAUCUUCCGAGGGUCAGACUCUGUGCUACUUGCUGGGAGGUCCCAAGCAAAAUCAGUCCUGAACCCUAAGAACUCACAGUGUCUACUCACAGGGGUGAAGAAAGGUUUAGGCUUUCGAGUCAAAAGAUCAAGUUCUAGUUGGACAACAUGUGACUUUGGGCGUGUUCUGUCUUCUCUACAAGAAGCAUGAGUAAUAGUUAGGAACCCAAGUGAUGAAUAAGAUGCAGCCCCAAGGGACAUGGUAUUGGCCCAGAGAGAACUCUUAGGACCUUCUGUCCAGUUGGGACUGAGCCCCCUGGAAGCUGGACUGCUGCCUUCCAACUGCCACGGACCCCAGGAGAAUGUGUAAGCUGACAGCAGGAAACAGCUGGGGCCCAUGUCUCCCAUCUGAAAAAGCCAGGUUAUUUAUAAUGGUUUGGCUAUUGUGGUUGUUGAAGAUGCAUCUGUGAAAAACAUUGUUGCUAUGACUAACCUUAUGCACUUCUUUUGUGCCUGUGAGUCAGGGUUCCUCCAGGGUGAACAUAACAACAAACAGCAGGAAGGAAGGGAUCCAGGCAACCAGCACACGAUAUGGGAUAUUGGCUACGUGAUGGGAAAUGUUCUGGGGUCAGAUCAGAAAAUGUCAGACCUUCUUACACGCGUUCGUGACCGGCCAGGAAGAACGCAACAAACCGGAAUCUUCUGCGGCAAAAGCUUUAUUGCUUACAUCUUCAGGAGCAAGAGAGCAAGAGCAAGAGCAAGAGAGAGAAUGGCGAAACCCCGUCCCUUUUAAGGAGAAUUAUCCUCCGCCUAGGACGUGUCACUCCCUGAUUGGCUGCAGCCCAUCGGCCCAGUUGUCAUCACGAGAAAGGCAGAGCACAUGGCGGGAAAACUGCCCCUGCACAUGUGCAGAUUAUUUACUACUUAGAACACAGCUGUCAGCGCCAUCUUAUAAUGGCAAAUGUGAGUGCGGCUUCCCACAAGACCUUGGAUUAGGUGUUUUACAAACACGAUCCGUUGGCUUCCUAUAGCAACCAUGUGAGGCAGGUGCUGUGACUGUUUCUAUCUCACAGGUGAGGACAUUAAGCCUGCAGAGGACAAGCGACCUGGUCCAAGGCACCCUGUCAGCACUGGGGCAGUGUACAUUGAGUGUCCUGAUUCUAUGCCUGCCUGCCACAGCCUCCCUGUAGCCUCAGCUUUGUAGAUAUUUUAAGAAGCCAGGCGAAGUAAAGUAAGGGACUCUAGACCAGACAAGGCAAACAGCUGAGAAGCCCCCAAGAGGUUUUGGAUCUGAAACUUGCCAUAUUUACCCAAAUAAAAUAAUAAAACCUUUUCUUCUCACUUUA